rnacentral:rRNA from 1 species
GUACUCGAGCGGCGAACGGGUGAGUAACACGUGAGUAAUCUGCCCUGCGCUCUGGGAUAGCCACCGGAAACGGUGAUUAAUACCGGAUAGGACCACUUCACGCAUGUGAUGGUGGUGGAAAGUUUUUUCGGCGCAGGAUGUGCUCGCGGCCUAUCAGCUUGUUGGUGAGGUAACGGCUCACCAAGGCUUUGACGGGUAACCGGCCUGAGAGGGUGACCGGUCACACUGGGACUGAGACACGGCCCAGACUCCUACGGGAGGCAGCAGUGGGGAAUAUUGGACAAUGGGCGGAAGCCUGAUCCAGCAACGCCGCGUGAGGGAUGACGGCCUUCGGGUUGUAAACCUCUUUCAGUACCGACGAAGCGAAAGUGACGGUAGGUACAGAAGAAGGACCGGCCAACUACGUGCCAGCAGCCGCGGUAAUACGUAGGGUCCGAGCGUUGUCCGGAAUUAUUGGGCGUAAAGGGCUCGUAGGCGGUUUGUCGCGUCGGGAGUGAAAACACCGGGCUUAACUCGGUGCUUGCUUUCGAUACGGGCAGACUAGAGGUAUGCAGGGGAGAAUGGAAUUCCUGGUGUAGCGGUGAAAUGCG